CACUUCCUAUUUCCUCCCAUCCAGAAAAACAACUAGAUCGCCGAUGGCCGCCCUGCACCUAUUCUUCCCCUGCAUCCCCGCCUCCAUUUUUCCCUGCAUCACGAGCUAAGUUCCCACCUCCCGCGGUAGCGCGCGCUCAUACGCAUCAAUCGGGAUCCAUCGCCAAAUGGGUGACCCGGAGUUGGAGAUGCGGCCGCGUUCAUCACCAAGCCGCAACUCUGACCCUCCAUAGCUAGCACGAGACAAGAUGAUUCCUUUAGACUACUGCUAGAUUGGACCCAAAGACUUAGCUGGACAGGGUUGAAGUACACGAAAAAUGCACAUAGUUUAGAGAGUUCAACUACCAUGGUAGCAAAGGACUCAACUCUGCUGGAUUGCUACAUUUUACUUUAGUUGCAUUUGAUGGAUAUUUGAUAUGAGAAUUAUAAUUUGUAUGAACCUACAUAUUAUACGUGUGGAUUUGAAUUUUGUAAUUCAAUGGUUGUAUUUUUUUAUGGUUGCGAUAA